GAACGGUAACAGGCCGCUGGGAUCCCUUCGGGGUGACCUUGGCGCUGACGAGUGGCGGACGGGUGAGUAAUGCAUAGGAAUUUGCCUUGAAGUGGGGGAUAGCCCGGAGAAAUCCGGAUUAAUACCGCAUGCGCUCUACGGAGCAAAGCGGGCCUCUGAUUCAAGCUCGCGCUUUGAGAUAAGCCUAUGUCGGAUUAGCUAGUUGGUAGGGUAAAGGCCUACCAAGGCGACGAUCCGUAGCUGGUUUGAGAGGAUGAUCAGCCACACUGGGACUGAGAUACGGCCCAGACUCCUACGGGAGGCAGCAGUGGGGAAUAUUGGACAAUGGGCGCAAGCCUGAUCCAGCAAUGCCGCGUGUGUGAAGAAGGCCUGCGGGUUGUAAAGCACUUUUAUCGGGAAAGAAAAUCUCAGGGUUAAUACCCCUGGGCCUUGACGGUACCCGAAGAAUAAGCACCGGCUAACUCAGUGCCAGCAGCCGCGGUAAUACUGAGGGUGCGAGCGUUAAUCGGAAUUACUGGGCGUAAAGCGAGUGUAGGCGGCUGCGUAAGUCGGAUGUGAAA
rnacentral:rRNA from 1 species